UUAAAAGCAAUGAUGGAGACAGUAGGCUUUAGAUAAUUUUACAGAGAGUUGGUAUAAGCUGAGAGCCAAUAAAUUUAUAAAGUUGAAAAUCACUCCUAAGCUGCAGGCUGAAAGACGUUUGUUUAUUAAGCUGUGCCGGUUAAUGCCGUUAAACUAUAGAGUGUAAUAUAUAUUAGUUUAAAUUUUAAUAUAUAUUAAAUUAGGGUGGUAACGCGAUUAAUACUCGUCCCUUUU
rnacentral:ncRNA from 1 species